CCUGUUGCAGCCUGAGACCGAAAGUGCUGGCAGGGUUAAAGAAAUCAGGGCUGCAAAUCAACUGGGAUCUGCUAUAUUCACAGGACGUUGGAGUUUGGAUCUUGCUCAUGGCUGGCGAAGUGUUUAGAUCCUUUUGGAUGUCCUUCCAGAAGAGCACUCCCCAUCAACCCGCGGGCAGCUGAAUUCCCACCUCAGACUCUGCUCCAAGGGCGCCGUGUCUACGGAGGCGACGCUGAGGAUGGCUUAUCAGGUUGGGUCACUCACCCCACCACGAGGACCUGACCUUAAAUUCUCGGUGCAUCCUAAGUGUGACCCAGAGACCGCCUGCGUCAGAAGCACCUAGAAUGCUGUGGAAGCACCUUCAAUGCAGAUUCCUGGGCCCAACCCUGGUUCCACUGAAUCGGGGUCAGCUGGUGGGCCCAGGAAUUGGCAUUUUCAACAGCUUCCAAUUGUACACCAGAAUACUCAAGCUUGUGACUCCCCUGCUCACUGUUUUCUUCAUCCUUUCUCACUUCCUGCUGAGUACAUAUGUAUUUUACUACUUUUAGAGAUACUUUUACAAUAAAGGCAG
rnacentral:lncRNA from 1 species